CACGCCUGAAAUGCAAUUGGUUACAGACAUCAAAGUGGCCUUGGUACACAGGUUAUUGAGUAUCACACUCUGCCUUACAGCACAGACAGAAACAAGGCUCCUCUCCUGCAAAGGCAGACUGCUGCUGCAUUCUAUACAAUCUAGUGAUGUUUUAAAGGUGUUUACCUGCCUAAUAGCUCACUGAGUCAGAGAAGUGACAGUGAUGGCCAACUGCAAUGUCACAGAAUUGAAGGCAGGAGCAGGUGACUGGAUGAAUUCCACAUAUUUAACAUAAGCAAGUGGGAAAAGCAGCAGAGAAAAGACAAUCUGACUGCACAAAGAAAGGAGGAUGAAACAGAGGCUGAGGUUAUGCAGCUGGACAGGGGAGCAGACAUUUGAAGCCAUAAAUAAAUUCAAUCUGCACAUCCAGUAUAUAGCUUGUACUUUUUCACUUGUUGGAGCCUUUUUCUCCAGUGCAACACAGAUACCUUCAGAGCUAAAAACACCAUGCUCAGGCUGGUGCUUCCUGAUGUUUGGUGAUUCCACUCCGUGAUGAAGGUCAGCUCUUACUAUGAACUUAACAAACACUAUGUAUUUUCUCAAAUCUCUUAGUCCCACCUAGCUACCAAAGUUUCUGUUUCUGGGUGCUAAAUGAGACAAGACUAACAGGAAGAACUGUUUUCUAUGGGACAGCUGGAGUGGUAUCACUGCAGCUACUGGUAAAGACAUAGCCACAACAGGCUUGGUUAUCUUAUCUAUCCUCUUGGUGCAACAGCUUAUUAUGCCAGCAUUAUAAAAUAUCCUGCCCUACAAAGGGAAAAACCAAUUAUCCUGAGGUAUAUUUACUUUGCACUCUCUGUAGGAUCCUAGGAUGGUGUUGUAAAGUACACGUUAUUGAAUCAGUGAUGCUUCACUCAUGUGCACAAUUCCACAAGCUGUGGGAUGAUUCAUGUGCAGCUGUGUCUGAGUCAGACUGUCUGAGCUGGGCUGUCACAUACCACA